rnacentral:lncRNA from 1 species
UGCUUGUCGAUGUAUUACCCAAAUGGAAAAUUAGAUCUGUCCAUACUUUUACAAAUUUCUCUUUGUAUACGAGCCAAGUGUCUUGGAGAUACUCAAUCAAAUCUGGAUAAUUCGCGUACUCGUCCAUCAAAGCUGUGUAAUUCCUGGCGAAAUCUUCUUCACACACUGAUUUUACCAAAGUUUGCCAUGUACCAAGUACAAAAGCCGUGCCACGACGCCUACUAUUGCCGAGACAUCUUGAAGCACGACGCCCCACAUUCAUGUUAAUGUGCCAAAGACAUAAGAGAUGAGGUACGGUCGGAAAUACAUUCUCUAGCGC